UACAGAGGGUGCGAGCGUUGUUCGGAAUUAUUGGGCGUAAAGGGCGCGUAGGCGGUGCGGUAAGUCACCUGUGAAAUCUCCUGGCUCAACUGGGAGCUUGCAGGCGAAACUGCCGUGCUGGAGUGUGGGAGAGGUGCGUGGAAUUCCUGGUGUAGCGGUGAAAUGCGUAGAUAUCAGGAGGAACACCUGUGGCGAAAGCGGCGCACUGGACCACAACGUGACGCUGAGGCGCGAAAGCUAGGGGAGCAAACAGG
rnacentral:rRNA from 1 species